GUAGGUGGCGAGCGUUGUCCGGAUUUACUGGGCGUAAAGAGCGCGCAGGCGGUCGAUCAAGUCGGAUGUGAAAGCCCCCGGCUCUACUGGGGAGGGUCAUUCGAUACUGAUCGACUCGAAGGCAGGAGAGGGAAGCGGAAUUCCCGGUGUAGUGGUGAAAUGCGUAGAUAUCGGGAGGAACACCAGUGGCGAAGGCGGCUUCCUGGCCUGUUCUUGACGCUGAGGCGCGAAAGCUAGGGGAGCAAACGGGAUUAGAUACCCCGGUAGUCCUAGCUGUAAACGAUGGACACUAGGUGUUGGUGGUAUCAACCCCGCCAGUGCCGUAGCUAACGCAUUAAGUGUCCCGCCUGGGGAGUACGGCCGCAAGGCUA
rnacentral:rRNA from 1 species